rnacentral:rRNA from 1 species
UAGGUCCCAAGGGUAUGGCUGUUCGCCAUUUAAAGUGGUACGCGAGCUGGGUUUAGAACGUCGUGAGACAGUUCGGUCCCUAUCUGCCGUGGGCGCUGGAGAAUUGAGGGGGGCUGCUCCUAGUACGAGAGGACCGGAGUGGACGCAUCACUGGUGUUCGGGUUGUCAUGCCAAUGGCACUGCCCGGUAGCUAAAUGCGGAAGAGAUAAGUGCUGAAAGCAUCUAAGCACGAAACUUGCCCCGAGAUGAGUUCUCCCUGAGACUAUAAGUCUCCUGAAGGAACGUUAAAGACGAUGACGUUGAUAGGCCGGGUGUGUAAGCGCAGCGAUGCGUUGAGCUAACCGGUACUAAUGAACCGUGAGGCUUAACCUUACAACGCCGAAG